rnacentral:rRNA from 1 species
GUGACGAGUGGCGGACGGGUGAGUAAUGUCUGGGGAUCUGCCCGAUAGAGGGGGAUAACCACUGGAAACGGUGGCUAAUACCGCAUAACGUCGCAAGACCAAAGAGGGGGACCUUCGGGCCUCUCACUAUCGGAUGAACCCAGAUGGGAUUAGCUAGUAGGCGGGGUAAUGGCCCACCUAGGCGACGAUCCCUAGCUGGUCUGAGAGGAUGACCAGCCACACUGGAACUGAGACACGGUCCAGACUCCUACGGGAGGCAGCAGUGGGGAAUAUUGCACAAUGGGCGCAAGCCUGAUGCAGCCAUGCCGCGUGUAUGAAGAAGGCCUUCGGGUUGUAAAGUACUUUCAGCGGGGAGGAAGGC